AUUGAUUUUAUUAUCAAUAACAAUUGUGAGACUUCAGAUAGAAAUAACAACAAUGGUUAUAAAACAAAGGUUAUAAAAUUGUGUAGAUUAAGUAAUACUUCAAAUUAAAGGGAACACAAAAAUCCUACAACAGCAUCGUUGACUAAACACACUUAUUUAACUGAAUACAGUGAUUGACUUUUGUUUGGAUGACAUCAGUUAGUUGUAUGGUUGUCAUUGUGAACAAUAUACAACCACAGUCAACGCUUCAGAUAUUUCAUUUUAACAUUAGAAGUAACAAUAAUGUGUUAAAAGUGUUGCUAGCAUAUUUCUAGAAGUUGCUAGUUAAACAUAAUUUGAGAGUAAAAUCAGUAAUCAAACCUAGCAUCACUUCCAGAAAGUAAUCUCUUCCAUUUGAAAAAAGCACUUGAAUUCAAAAAACAACAAUCAUCUUUAUGUUUUAACAGAAUCAGCUGUUGUCUAAUUUUCAAAUUUACUCAGUAUUAAAAAGAGUGUAAAAUGGUCUAUUAUUAAAGUUUGUUAAUAAUGCAUGCCUUUCCCAUUGAGUGUUGAAGGUCAUAAGAAGAUUGGUGUCAUUAGUAUCAACAUGAAAAUUUAGCAAACAUCACGGAUUAGUGUAUUAUCAAACAGUUGAUGUUUUUUCUGUAAGAAAAGAUAUAAAUAAAAAAUAUGAAACAAGAAUGUGUCCAAAGUACACGGAUGCCCCACUCGCAUUAUCAUUUUCCAUGUUCAAUGAG
rnacentral:lncRNA from 1 species